GUUCAUUUUGGCAAGGAAAUGUGCUGAUUUUGCAAGGAGAUGGAGAAUAAAGAGUUCAAGAGGUCAGAGGUCAGUGGGAAUGACCUCACCCUCAUAGACCUGGAUGACCCCAUCAAUGAAGCUGAUGUUAUGAAGGAAGUCAGAUCCCAUAAAGAUCACAGAGAGGCUGAGAGACUAACCAAGUUGGACGAGGCUGUUCUAGAGACAGAUACCCC